UGCCCCCCCCCCCCAAAAAAAAAAAAAAGAAAGCUAAGGAAGAAGCCAUAGCCCGGAACCAUAAGAACGAAAAGAGGAGAGGAAAGCUUUAUCUGAUAGGUCCUUGUAACUAGUUGUAGCCGCCCACAACAAAGAAAUGGAGAAACCUAAACUCCGGUUGGCCUGCUUCAUAGCUCUUCUCAUUAUUGUUUUCGCCAUGACAGAAGCCGAAGCAUUGGCCGACGGUACCAAGGGACAUCCAUGCAGUAAACAUAAGGACUGUGUAGAUGCCUGUAGUUAUCGAGGCCGGUGUCCGUUCCUUUGCGUUUCCGGAUCCUGCGUUUGCGACUGUCCGCCGCCGUAGUAUUGAGCGGACGGCCUCCAAGCUAUACAUCUCUUAAAACAUGAUUAUUAAUUGUAGCAGCUAGGCAGAAGCUUAUUGCUUAUUCCCUUAGCAUAUUAUUGUGUUUUGUUUGAAGUAAUAGUUUAGUGAUAUAUGUUUUACCUUGUGGGGAUUACCUAAUAAAGUCGUUUUUCUUUAGGCAGCCUCGAAAAAAAAACAGAAAAGGAAAAUAAGAAUAUUUUUUUAGCUGUUGGAUUGUUAGAGCUUUUGUUUUUUGGGUGUGUACUCAUAGUUUCCAUUAGUAAAAUUUAAUUUGCUUCA